ACCUGUAAUUUAGCCUCCGGAUUUCUGCCCUCUGUUACCCUCUCUCCUUGGUUUCCUCACUUACUUCCCAAUGAGGAAAAUAAAGUCGUGAGCCUUCCACCCUGGUUGAUAGAUUCAUUGCAAGCAGCUGAGACUUUUAGUACGGGCCACAGUUAAGAGUCAGUGGGGCUCAGUGAGACUGUAGGAUUGGAUGCAGUUGAUCCAGGCAGUGCUUGGGUUGCUGGGGAUCUUUUGGGGCUCAUGUGUCCCCUCUUCCAGGAAUUUCGUCUUUACAAAUGGAGUGACCCUAACAGCUUCCAGCUCUGACCAGUCUUCUUCAGUGUUUUUUUUUUUUUUUUUUUUUGGUCUUUUUCGUUUUUAUCGGUACCAGGGAUUGAACUCACAACUGCCUACUUGCAAGGAAGGCGCUUAUGCCGCUGAGCUAAAUCCCCAGCCCCCCAGUCUUCUUCAGUGGACUCAGAAUAGCACAGACGCUGCCACUCAUGCCACAUCUAGCUGAUGCACCAGAGGCCAGGUUGUCAAGGCUUCCACGUGGUCUCCGAGCUAUCCCUGUACCCAGACACGCUAUUUCAGCUGCCAUGAAAGGAAAUCUUGCUCUGCGCUGAAGGAUUCUGGAGACAUGCGGUGAUUCUUCCUGUCGCCUUUGUCCAGCAACUGUGCGGCGGCACCAUUUUGGAGACGUUCCAUUUCCUGCUGAAAACUUUGAGUGAAGAUUUUUGCCUUCUCCAACGCUACCCUUUUAGAGUCUCAAAGGCUUGCCUGCUGGUGUAGAAAAGGUUUCCAGAGACUCUAUUGCUCACUUUGGGUAAGAAACCUACAGGCAGCCAGAGAGAAACAAGCAGGAUGUGGAACCCAGGGUCUGUGGAGCAGCCUCAGUUCUGGGGCUGCUGCCAGCUGCCAGCAGGACCCUGCAGAAGAACAAAGAGAAGCAGCUAUAAUAUGUGACUGCGAGUUAGGCUCCUUGGGGGCCCUUUGUGGUUUAGGGGCUCAUGAUAGAGGAAAUGUUAGUGGUUUACCCAAGUUAGAAAAUAAUGUCAUAACCCAAGGAAUUUCAAGAAGGCAAGUAGGAAAUCACUUUAAAGUUAAGUAUAAAGGUCAGAGUUAGGUUGUUAGUGGGGGACAGCAAAGUCUGCAAACAUUUUGAAGGAAAAGAUAAAAUACUUCAAGAGCUAUAAAGACCUAGGAAACCAGGAAAGAACCCUUCUAAGCGCUUGGUUCUGGUAUUCCCAUAUCUGGUAGAAAAAUUGAGAAUGGUCUCUGGGAAUGAGGGGGAAUCGUGGAAGUAAAUCAAAUUGUGAGUUUUUAAUACUUAUUACUCUAGUGGUUUCUAUACUUGGGGAUGAACAAAAUCUAAUUUAGAUGAAAAUAACAUAGUAAGCCCUACUUUAUGGCAUUUUGAAUAUAAAGACAGGGGUCACUUCAUUUGCCUGGGGGCUCCUACUGCUGAAUGACAGGCAGAACAGCCCUUCACUCAUUGCAAAGAAUGCAGUAAAACCAUUUUCUGAGAGUGGGGAAGCUACUGCAGAGGGACCAGGGGAUUCAGUGUGUUGCCCUUGGGCCUUGCACAAAAUUGUGACCUGUUUGUGGUUGUGGCAGAACAAUGUGUAAAGAGCGCACCACAACGUGUGACCAUCUUGUGCAUUUUGGCUUUCUUUUUUACUCUUGAUUUGUGUCCUGUGCUCCCUUCAAAUGAGGAUGUAGGGACAGGGACCCUGCCUGUGAUGUUCACUGCUAAAUCUUAAGUUUGUAAAGGCAUAGGACCAGCUCCAAAAGAGUGGCUCCAUGAUUGGCUGUGUCUGCUUCCCUUAGGGCUGGUCUUUCUAGUUUUUGGACAAAACGCUUUCCUGCUUGCCAGUCAUGUUUUGCAGAAAUUAAGCUUCCUUUAGAGAUGUAGCAAAGGCCAGAGAAUAAAGAGCAAGGGAAGCACAGUUGUAGAUGUCAGCAGAACCUCAAACAUCAGAGGACAUGGUGGUUGGCCACCAGGGUGAGUUGUACCAUCACUGAAACAAGGAAAAAAGGAUUACGGACUCUGCGCAUUGCAUGACACUGCUCACCUUCAAACAAAUGUCUCUUAAGCGUGCUUGUUUAAGCCCUCAAGAGGCAAGCUGGAGGGCAAGGUAGGCUUCAGUCCCAGUAAACACAGGGGACAUGGUCACCGAGCAGUCACCAGAGGCUACUUGUGGAGCUUCCAUCAGAACCAUGUCCCUUUAUCCUACUUAGAUCAGGGUUCUUCUCCCUAAUUGUGGGAGAUGCCAGGGCUGCAGUCUUUCCUAGUAGAUGACAACCUCAUGUCUGGAACGCAGACAGUGAAAAUUUGAAACAGCAGCUUCAUGGGAGCUAUGAGGGUAUUUUGGCUGUGUGAUGACACUUAAUGGCCACCAAGGAAAAUAACCACAGGCUUAAAGGCAAUGUCAACUUGAGCUCAGUUAGGCAGGUGAAUGGAGACCUCCCUCAAUAAGAACCAGUUUCUGUUUUCUGCUUUUUCCUAUAGUUUGAAAAACGUAUCCAAAGAGCCAAGCACCUGGGAAGCAGGGGCCAUUUCCUUCACAAACAGGAAAUACUCAAAGGCAAAUUGUAUGUCCACAUUUCUCUCCCGACACUGUUCAAGUUUGGGAUUGAGACCCAAGGUCUGUUCUGCGUCACUUGCGUGUGAUGGAGCAGUGUCCCUUGAGUUCCACACUGCAACUAUGCCUGGGAAGCUGUGGGUCCCAAUUUCUUCAGGAUCCCACUUGCUGCCAGUCACGGAACACCUUGUGAACAUGGAUGCAGACAUGUGCACAGUGACAUUUUUGUUAGUGACAGUGAUAUAGGGAAAUGAAACUCCCAACCUACUAUGUCCCGUAUAAGUUUGUGUUCUCUAAAAUCGAAGAAUGACUUUUAGGAACAUUGGAGACUAAGAGCAGAAUAUAUUGAGAGAAAGCAAGCUUCUGUCUGAGAGAGAUCCAAGGAGCCCUGAGCGGGUUGCCAGGGACUCUGUCUUUUCCAGGGAUUUUUAUAGGGUAAAAUCAUGGGGUGAGAGGGUUCAAGUUGGGGAAAACUGGGAACUCACAAGGCAGAUGGGCAUAAGGUGGGACAGAACUAUAGUUAACCGAUAAAAUUAAUAAUUCAGGUAAAAUUAAGUUGGGGACAAAUGGGGAAGAGAGUCAUGUAGAAAGCAGGCGUUCUUAGGGAGCAGUGCCUCUUGCCUAGGAGGUUGGAAUGGUGACUCCUGGCUUCCUCAUGAUGAUAGGGAACUAUUUAGGAUAUCAGUCCUUACGGUGUGGGUGUGUUUGCUUUGCCUUUUGUCUUGAGAUUGGACCAACAGCAGGAGGUGUCUGUCUCCCCCCACCCCCAGGUGCAAGGUAUCUGGGCUUCUGCACUGGCUCUUUGGAGGACCUAGCCCUGUCUCACUGCCUAUAAUAUUUCUAACUAACUAGGCUGCCAGUAACAACAGGAUGCUUCCACAGAGGUGGCUAUGCCAUGUAACUGAGGCAUGCAGCAGGCCGUCUCAUCUAACCUUGUGUAGGUCCCCGGAUGAUGUUUGCACAAGGAUAGAAUCACCGGAUGAUGCAUGUCUUAGAAUGUGUCCUCAUAGUGUGUGCCCAUCCUUAAAGGGCUCAUGACUGUCCAUACAUGGUGAUGCCCGAGUUAACUGUAAACUGAAGGUCACAGAAUUUAGGGAAGUGGGAAAAAUGUUCAGUCAUAAACACACAUCCAGACAUGUGGGCGGAGGUGACUUCCCUUUCCUACUGCUGCUAGCCUGGAAGGAUUCUUAGCAGGAGCCCUGAGAUGGCUCGCUCACUUGAGGAAAUUGAGUACAGCAAUAGUAAGCUCACAAGUCAGAUUUUAAUUUUUUAAAGCUAUGUGAUAUUUUACCCUAUUAACACAAAGGUUUCAGUUAAGAGGAGGCUUUUAAAAUUACUGUUGAUUUGCAUGGUUUUUUUUGCUGCAUCCUCAUAUGAAAUAUUGCUAGGGCAUCUUCUGCUCCAUAUUUUAAUUAAUCUUUCUAUUUCAUUUAUUUGUUAGAGAGCAGAGAUUCUCAAUUGCUUUAAAAUGAAGCAGCAUUAAAGGCCAGAGUAGGUCAGAAGAGUCCAGGGUAAGCCACUGCCUGCUUUCUCUAAAUGGGGUUAUUUAGAAUUUUAAAGUCCUGUAACUUCUCAUCCUCAAAUGUGUUCUGAAGAUGAAUUGAGGGCCUGCCAGUGUACCAGGGUCAGUCCUUGACUGCCUAUGGAUAAUUGAAGUCCACAGACAAUAGCAUCUUCUCUCCAUCCAGUGGUUUUUAAUCUCAUCACAUACUCACCCUUCACCAAGUACUUCUUGUAACUCUGAAGAGAAAGCCAGGGUUCACAUUUUCUAAUGGUGUUUGUUUUCUAAUGCAAAAGGGAGUAGAUAAAAGGGUAGGUCAUGGGAGGAAGGCAAGAAAAGGGGGACCGCAGGGAUAAAGUGGACGGCAGGAUGUCUGCAAUGCCCUAGACAUGACAGUGUUCGGUUCGCAGGUCCUCGCCUCCCCUCAGCCAAAAGCAGCCGAAUGUGUGUCCCAGCAGGAAUCACCCUGUUUUCCUGGGGGAUGCCUCCAAAUGCAAAUUAUUGCUUGCUCUUUGAUAUUCUGGAAGCCUUGUUGGAGGCCUUCAAAGUUUGGAGCAUUUGUGGAAUCUGAGGAAUCAAUCUACCUUCUCCUUGGUGUCUGCUCCUCCUUUCUCUGGUAGAAAAGAUAAACGAAACUUCCAUUAUUCAACCCAUGCUAUUGUGGUGGCAGUUUCCUUUGAGCCUCUUGGCAAAACCCUGUUUGCUUUAGAACUGUACAUCAUAUUGGAUCCAUUGAGAGUCAUUAUUUAUCUGACAGGAUAUUUAUAAAAGCCGGCAUUAGCUGCAGUGCCAAGUCAAUAUGUUUCUCUCUGGCUGAUACACAUCACACCAACAGGCUUGAAAUAUUUAAAUACAAUAGUCCCUUCAAGAAAUCAUUAAUUUUUCUAUCACUGCUAGAAGUGAUAAUUUGAUGGAAAUGCAUUUCCCUGAAAUGGCUGAGCUGACUCGAGUGGAUAUUUUAAAGUCCCUGGACUUCAGAGAAGUUGGUGCAGGGCAGUCAGGGCCCUAUAGAGGACCAGAACCCAGGUGUCUUGGGGUGGUGGCUUUAAGGUGGCC